UGGGCUGACGCACUCUGAUCCAGCCAUGCCGCGUGCAGGAAGACUGCCCUAUGGGUUGUAAACUGCUUUUAUUUGGGAAUAAACCUCCUUACGUGUAGGGAGCUGAAUGUACCAAACGAAUAAGGACCGGCUAACUCCGUGCCAGCAGCCGCGGUAAUACGGAGGGUCCAAGCGUUAUCCGGAAUCAUUGGGUUUAAAGGGUCCGCAGGCGGAUUUGUAAGUCAGUGGUGAAAUCCUACAGCUUAACUGUAGAACUGCCAUUGAUACUGCAAGUCUUGAAUUCGGUCGAAGUGGGCGGAAUAUGUCAUGUAGCGGUGAAAUGCUUAGAUAUGACAUAGAACACCGAUAGCGAAGGCAGCUCACUAGGCCUGGAUUGACGCUCAGGGACGAAAGCGUGGGGAGCGAACAGGAUUAGAUACCCUGGUAGUCCACGCCGUAAACUAUGAUUACUCGUUUUCGGCGAUAUUACAGUCGGAGACUAACCGAAAGUGAUAAGUAAUCCACCUGGGGAGUACAAUCGCAAGGUUGAAACUCAAAGGAAUUUGACGG
rnacentral:rRNA from 1 species